UUAAAUUUGUAAGGGCGUAUGGUGGAUGCCUUGGCAUUAGAAGCUGAUGAAGGACGUGACUAACUACGAUAUGCUUCGGGGAGAUGUACGUAAUCUUUGAUCCGGAGAUUUCCGAAUGGGGGAACCCACUAGUGGUAAUGCACUAGUAUCACAUAAUGAAUAUAUAGUUAUGUAGAAAGCAACCCAGUGAACUGAAACAUCUUAGUAACUGGAGGAACAGAAAGAAAAAUCGAUUUCCUUAGUAGUGGCGAGCGAAACGGAAAGAGCCCAAACCGACUUUAGAGUCGGGGUUGUAGGACCUCUCUAUAAGAGUUACAAAUUCAUAACAUAGUUGAACUUUUCUGGAAAGUUAGACGAAACAAGGUGACAGUCCUGUAAACGAAAUGUUAUGAACUCUUUGAGGUAUCCUGAGUACAACGAGACACGAGAAAUCUUGUUGGAAUCUGCGGGGACCAUCCCGUAAGGCUAAAUACUCUCUAAUGACCGAUAGUGAACAAGUACCGUGAGGGAAAGGUGAAAAGAACCCCGGGAGGGGAGUGAAAUAGAAACUGAAACCGUAUGCUUACAAAAAGUUCGAGCACAUUAAUGUGUGAGAGCGUGCCUUUUGCAGAAUGAACCGGCGAGUUAUUGUAUUAUGCAAGGUUAAGUCGAACAGAUGGAGCCGAAGCGAAAGCGAGUCUGAAUAGGGCGCUUAAGUAUGAUGCAAUAGACCCGAAACCGAGUGAUCUAGCCAUGAGCAGGUUGAAGUUGGGGUAAGACCCAAUGGAGGACCGAACCGAUAUGCCCGGAAACGCGUACGGAUGACUUGUGGUUAGCGGAGAAAUUCCAAACGAACUCGGAGAUAGCUGGUUCUCCCCGAAAUAGGUUUAGGCCUAGCCUUGAUUGAAUCUGCCCGGAGGUAGAGCACUGAAUGUGCGAUGGCGUCGUCUAGAUGUACUGAGUACAAUCAAACUCCGAAUGCUGGGUAGUACUAAUCAGGAGUCACUGUAUGGGUGAUAACGUCCAUACGGGAGAGGAAAAGAAUCCGGAUCGCCAGCUAAGGUCCCAAAAUUUGUGUUAAGUGGGAAAGGAUGUAGAGUUGUCAAAACAGCUAGGAGGUUGGCUUAGAAGCAGCCACCCUUUAAAGAGUGCGUAAUAGCUCACUAGUCGAGUGACACUGCGCCGAAGAUGUACCGGGGCUAAACACAAUACCGAAGCUGCGGACUUGCAUGUAAGUGCAAGUGGUAGGGGAGCGUUCUAAGUGCAGAGAAGGUAGACCGUAAGGACUGCUGGAGCGCUUAGAAGUGAGAAUGCCGGUGUGAGUAACGAAAAUUGGGUGAGAAUCCCAUUCACCGUUUGACUAAGGGUUCCUGGGUAAAGUUCGUCUUCCCAGGGUAAGUCAGGACCUAAGAUGAGGCUGAAAAGCGUAGUCGAUGGACAACAGGUUGAUAUUCCUGUACCACCUAUAUGACUGAAGGAGUGACGGAGAAAGCUAGUGAGAGCCAGUUAAUGGAUUCUGGUCUAAGUGCGUAGGCUAGUAUGUUGGCAAAUCCGCAAUACUAUAACAGCUGAAACAUGAUGGGGAAGAGAGUCUUCGGACAAUCGAACUUUCAUGAUGCUAUGCUUCCAAGAAAAGCUUCUAGGGUUAAUCGUAUAGGUGCCUGUACCGACAACCGACACAGGUGGUCAAGGAGAGUAUCCUAAGGUGAGCGAGAGAACUAUGGUUAAGGAACUCGGCAAAAUGACCCCGUAACUUCGGGAGAAGGGGUGGUCUAGCGAUAGACCCGCAGUGAAUAGGCCCAGGCAACUGUUUACCAAAAACACAGGUCUCUGCUAACACGUAAGUGGAUGUAUAGGGGCUGACGCCUGCCCAGUGCUGGAAGGUUAAAGAGAUUAGUUAGUAUGACGUAAGUCGAUAAUACGAAGCUUUGAACUGAAGCCCCAGUGAACGGCGGCCGUAACUAUAACGGUCCUAAGGUAGCGAAAUUCCUUGUCAGGUAAG
rnacentral:rRNA from 1 species